rnacentral:tRNA from 1 species
GGGCCCGUAGCUCAGCUGGGAGAGCGCUAGCAUGGCAUGUUAGAGGUCACCGGUUCGAUCCCGGUCGGGUCCACCA